UAAAUUCCUCAAAUUAGGGUUAGGUAUGCUGUUUCUCUUAAAUCGGAGAAGAAUUUAUCGGUCCGCUGUCAGGAUCAAGCUCAACUUCCGGGUACCCUCUAUGAUGACCGGUGGUCUCAUCGGAUUCACGAGUGGUUUCAUGUACCGCCUCAUCGGGUUCCUCCCCAAUAAGGUCGCGGUAGCCCGCUAUAAGAAGGCGUAGACACUGAUGCCGAUCCCGCACGAAAUUCUUUUCUAGUUUCAUACCACUUCAUUUCUUCGCUUAGAGGACAAAGACUGUUUUUUGCUUUUGGGAAAGAGUUUCUCCAAACAGAGAUAUAUGAAUUGGAGAUUUAUACUCAUACCAGACCCAGUGAAGAAUUGUUAGAAUCAUUUAUGAUCCUGAUCAAUCCAAUACGUAAUUUCUUCAGAUAUGGAUAAUCCAAUCAGAAAUCCAUUUACAACCUUUUCUAACAGUAUGAGCUGAUAGCAGAUGUAUUUGUUUGGCAGAGGAGUGCGAGAUGAGAUGCUUGAAAAGUGAACAUAAAGCUGUUGCAUUCAUUUAAAGAUCAUGGAUUCUUUUUCAUCUGCUUCAGCUUGGGGUCACCCUCCUUGGGUCUCUGUGGAAGAAUCUGAUUCUAGUUGAAGGCAAGAGAAUUGAGUUGCAUCCUAGUCCUUUGCCUCAUCCUUCAGUUUUCCUUGAACCAUGAAUGGGCUAGUCCAUAAAAGUAAAAUUUCAAUAUCACACAGGAAGGUUUCAUUUUUGUUCAAUUACGCCAUUCCAAUCUGCAAAUGCCCCAAAAGAGAUGGAAUCCCGUUUCAAUCAACCACUCGGCUUUAUCAGAAUUUGGGGCUAUAGUCUAAUUGCUGUCUUGAUGAGUUCUGGAUUCUCUUACACUUGUCGUACUUUGCCCUUUUCUUGAUGGGUUUGGAAAUGGGAAAAGAAGUGAACUAGAGUGGACUCAAGCUGCUGAGUAAAUGCGUAUACCUUUUCUCUUGCUCUUUGGGUAUGCUUACUUGCAGUGAGAGGAGAGGAGAGGAGAGGAGAGGAGAGGGAAAAGAAAUCCUUAAACUAUGUUUAUUUGGAA